UACGGAGUGUGCAAGCGUUACUCGGAAUCACUGGGCAUAAAGGGCGCGUAGGCGGGUUUCCAAGUCGGUUGUGAAAUCCCUCAGCUCAACUCCAGAACUGCCUUUGAUACUGGCGAUCUUGAGUCCGGGAGAGGUGAGUGGAACUGCGAGUGUAGAGGUGAAAUUCGUAGAUAUUCGCAAGAACACCAGUGGCGAAGGCGGCUCACUGGCCCGGUACUGACGCUGAGGUGCGAAAGCGUGGGGAGCAAACAGG
rnacentral:rRNA from 1 species